AUACGAAAGGUGCAAGCGUUGUUCGGAAUUACUGGGCGUAAAGCGUACGUAGGCGGUUGGUUAAGUUAGAUGUGAAAGCCCCGGGCUUAACCUGGGAACUGCAUUUAAAACUGGCGAACUCGAGUUGAGUAGAGGGGAGUGGAAUUUCAGGUGUAGCGGUGAAAUGCGUAGAGAUCUGAAGGAACACCAGUGGCGAAGGCGACUCCCUGGACUCGAACUGACGCUGAGGUACGAAAGCGUGGGUAGCAAACGGGAUUAGAUACCCUAGUAGUCC
rnacentral:rRNA from 1 species